UUUUUUUCUUUAUUCUAAAAAACAGAAAAAACAAAACUGGAUACAUGUGCAGAACAUGCAGGUUUGUUACAUAGCUGUACGUGUGCCAUGGUGGUUUGCUGCACCUAUUGACCUAUCCUGUGAGACGUGGUCUUGUAACACAGUGGUUAAGAAUGUGACUUUGGAGCCAGCCUGCUAGGGGCUGAAUUCUGACUCAGCCAUUUAUUAACUGUGUGACCUUAGGGAGGAGGACCUGGUUGAUAGAAGAAUUUAUCUCAUAGUCUUAACAUCCACUGUAAUUCCGAACUUUGAGGACGAUAGAGAUCAGUGGGCUUUGACUGCCCAGCAUGCAGUCUCCAUUCUUAGGUAGGUUCCCAAGCCUGUAAAAUGUAAGUCUUAUGUUGCUGAGGGCCAUCUUGCCACCCCGAGGGGAACGCUGCCUGAGAAUGAAACCAGCAUAAGUAAAAGCUGAGCUGUGAGAUGGAGUGAGAUGAAGGCCACAUGACAUCUUUGGAGCACCUGGAUCUAACUGUGCCUUAAGCUAGUCUAACCCUGAACAUUUCAUUGACAUGGGCCCAGGUUUUCCCUUUUUUUUUUUUUUUUUUUUGGAUGGAGUCUCACUCUGUCGCCCAGGCUGGAGUGCAGUGGUGCAAUCUCGGCUCACUGCAAGCUCCGCCUCCCGGGUUCACGCCAUUCUCCUGCCUUAGCCUCCCAAGUAGCUGGGACUACAGGCUCCCGCCACCACUCCCGGCUAAUUUUUUGUAUUUUUAGUAGAGACGGGGUUUCACCGUGUUAGCCGGGAUGGUCUUGAUCUCCUGACCUCAUGAUCCGCCCGCCUCGGCCUCCCAAAGUGCUGGGAUUACAGGCGUGAGCCACUGCGCCCAGCCCUCAGGUUUUCCCUUUUUUUACCCCUCCUUUUGAAAAUUUGAUUUGGAAU
rnacentral:antisense_RNA from 1 species